ACGAGCAGCUUUGCUUUCUUUACUCCUGUGCUACUCUACUCUACUGAUGUGCUGUGCAUGCGCUACUCAAUACUGCGCAUGCGCAUUAAUUUUCACCAGCCCGGUUACGACUCAGUGGAAACGAGUAGAAAUGAGUCUUAGAAAGCUGAUAAAAGACACCCAGAAGAAGACAAAUCCUUCUUACUUUUUGAAAUACUUUAAGCAAGACGAUACUUAUUCUAUUGUGAAAGCAAACUGUGUAGAAGUUGAGCAGCUGGAAGCUGGUACCUCCUGCAGAGUAAGGGAUGGAAAGGACUUUCAUGAUGGCACAAUAGUCACCUUUGGAGAUAAGAAAGAUGUAAGUAAUGCAGCAGGUGAUAUUAUUGAGAAGAUUGAGAAAGAGUCAGCGGAGAAUAUGGAGAAAGAGUCAGCCAAGAAUAUGGAGAAACAGUCAGCUGAGAGUAUGAAGAAUGAGUCAGACUACAAAGCGUGGCACAAUAAAAAGGAAAGCUAAGAAAAGUACCACCGAAUAAAGAAACCUAAAAUAG
rnacentral:misc_RNA from 1 species